rnacentral:lncRNA from 1 species
CGAAAAAAGUGAGACGUUGUAGCAACGAUUGAAGAGAAAACCGAAGUUGCAGUGAGAGAUUGAGAGAAUGAAGAAACCUAAAUCUGGAAACCUAUAGUGGUGAUGAGAGAGUGAAGAAACUUAAACGGAUCCUCGCUAUAUCAAUACAUUUUCUUGUUGAUUAUCGAUUUAGGGCUUAUGAUUAUAGCCGUGGUGAGAGUGGUGAUGACAAUGAUUUAGGGUUUAUUGAUUCAUGGUUAUGAAAACAAGAAGGUAGAGAGAGAC